UACGAGGGGGGCGAGCGCUGUUCGGAAUUAUUGGGCGUAAAGGGCGCGUAGGCGGUUCGGUAAGUCUUGUGUGAAAUCUUCGGGCUCAACUCGAAGUCUGCGCGAGAAACUGCCGGGCUUGAGUGUGGGAGAGGUGAGUGGAAUUUCCGGUGUAGCGGUGAAAUGCGUAGAUAUCGGAAGGAACACCUGUGGCGAAAGCGGCUCACUGGACCACAACUGACGCUGAGGCACGAAAGCUAGGGGAGCAAACAGG
rnacentral:rRNA from 1 species